rnacentral:rRNA from 1 species
CUACGGGAGGCACCAGUGAGGAAUAUUGCACAAUGGGGGAAACCCUGAUGCAGCAACGCCGCGUGGAGGAUGACGCAUUUCGGUGUGUAAACUCCUUUUAUCAGAGAAGGAAAUGACGGUAUCUGAUGAAUAAGCUCCGGCUAACUCCGUGCCAGCAGCCGCGGUAAUACGGAGGGAGCAAGCGUUAUUCGGAAUCACUGGGCGUAAAGGACGCGUAGGCGGGUUUUUAAGUCAGGUGUGAAAUCCUAUGGCUCAACCAUAGAACUGCACUUGAAACUGGGGACCUAGAGUAUGGAAGGGGCAGGUGGAAUUAGUGGUGUAGGGGUAAAAUCCGUAGAUAUCACUAGGAAUACCGAAAGCGAAGGCGACCUGCUGGGACAUUACUGACGCUGAGGCGUGAAAGCGUGGGGAGCAAACAGGAUUAGAUACCCUCGUAGUC